rnacentral:rRNA from 1 species
CUACGGGUUGCAGCAGUGGGGAAUCUUAGACAAUGGGGGAAACCCUGAUCUAGCCAUGCCGCGUGAGCGACGACGGCCCUAGGGUUGUAAAGCUCUUUCAGCAGGGAAGAUAAUGACGGUACCUGCAGAAGAAGUCCCGUCUAACUCCGUGCCGAGCAGCCGCGGUAAUACGGAGGGGACUAGCGUUGUUCGGAAUUACUGGGCGUAAAGCGCGCGUAGGCGGAUUGUUAAGUCGGGGGUGAAAUCCCGGGGCUCAACCCCGGAACUGCCCUCGAUACUGGCAGUCUUGAGUUCGAGAGAGGUGAGUGGAAUUCCGAGUGUAGAGGUGAAAUUCGUAGAUAUUCGGAGGAACACCAGUGGCGAAGGCGGCUCACUGGCUCGAUACUGACGCUGAGGUGCGAAAGCGUGGGGAGCAAACAGGAUUAGAUACCCCUGUAGUC